rnacentral:misc_RNA from 1 species
CCUCCUUAUACGAUUUAGAACUUAUUUGUUCGUAGUGUCCACACAGAUGAUUGUUAGUUAGUUUCACCUUUGGGUUUAACUGAUUAAUAUGCUCUUUAAAAAUUUGGAAAAGCUGAUAAUAAAAUUCGUAUGAAUACAGUGUAUUUGUACAGAGUUUUCAAAAGUAAAAAAGAAUGAUAGCAGUAUCAUUCAGUGCCAUUUAAUAAACGUUUCGUUUGUUGAUUGGUAUCUACUUUAGUAUUCAAUAUUAACUUCUGGCGAAGUUAAACUGUCACAAAACAAAGACCCGUUUGGGUUGUAUGGUUAAGUGACUAAGCGUACACGGUGGAUGCCUUGGCAGUUGGAGGCGAUGAAGGACGUAUUAACUUGCGAUAAGCCUAGUCAAGCUAGUAAAAAGCACUUGAGACUAGGAUUUCCGAAUGGGA